GGGGAGUUGGCCACGGACGGUCCUCUCGCCAAACCGGUCAGGUCCGGAAGGAAGCAGCCGUAACGAGCUUCGGAUCGGGUCGUUGGUUCAGCUCCCUCCU
rnacentral:SRP_RNA from 1 species